rnacentral:rRNA from 1 species
UACGAAGGGUGCUAGCGUUGUUCGGAAUCACUGGGCGUAAAGCGCGCGUAGGCGGCCAAUCAAGUCAGGGGUGAAAUGCCACGGCUCAACCGUGGAACUGCCUUUGAAACUGAUUGGCUGGAAGAUGAGAGGGGAUAGCGGAAUUUCUGGUGUAGAGGUGAAAUUCGUAGAUGCCAGAAGGAACACCGGUGGCGAAGGCGGCUAUCUGGCUCAUUCUUGACGCUCUGGCGCGAAAGCGUGGGGAUCAAACAGG